AGAGGGGAACAGUGUCGUCAACGGCGCGCGUCUCUCGCGGUGGUUGCCGUUUGCCGCGGCGAUGGCGCGGAUGGUGAGGAGGAACAGGAAAAUUGUUAAUUAUUCAGAAUUUGGGGAUUUUGAAGAUGGUGAUGAAGACUUUGCAUGCAUUGCUGCACCUUUGACAAAAAAAUCCAGAACACAGCCUAAGGAACCAAAAAAGGAGAAUAAGAAGAAGCAAAAAACACAAAAAGAAUUUACUUCAUCGCAAAAACAGUCACCUAUUGGAAGAACAUCCUUGGAUGAUAGUUUCUGUGAAAGGGAUUUGAACGUUACCUUGGCCUUGUCCAUCAAAGAAAAAUCAGCAAAUAUCCUUGAAGUGCAAAAUUCAAAAGAACAAGGUCAGGUUCUAGAUGAUGACAUACCUAGGAAUGGCUGUAGGCAAUGGACAGCAGCGAGUAAAGCUUUCUCGCAUCAGAAGUUACUGACCAUUGACAGUUGUGACAGAGAGCACGUUACUGACUCUGAACCAGUGACUAUACCAGAUGAGGAAUCAGAAGAAGAUUCAGAUUAUAGAGAAGGUAAUGAUGAAGACUGUGCUAUGGAAAAGAUGAAAAUCAAUGGAAUGAAAAAGAAAAUAAAGAGGCAGACUAGAAAAGAAAAGAAGACUCCUAAAUCUGAGAAUAAUACUACUGAAGUAAUGGAACUAAAAUCUGAGCAGACACAAAAGAUGAUGUCCACAUCUUCAGAACCAGUUGGAAGGCCUUUAUAUACAUCAAGUCCCGUAACAAACAAGAAGCCCAAAUGGGUACCACCAGGACGUGCUUGUGCCGUCAGCUUCCUGUAGAUGGGGCUUUGGUUCCACAUAGGCUGGGACCCGGAUGGCAGCGUGGUACAGAUGUGAUGCAGACAUGAAGCCUAUGCUGAACUGCAAGUAACCAGCUCCUUUAGCAACUAAGGAUGCACCAUAUCUAGCAAUGCUUCUGCUGUGAGCACGGGCUGUAGAAAUACCCCAUGCAGCUUCGCCCUAUAGCACUGACCAUGCUACCUCAACAGAGGGGGAAAAAAUCAAAAGCCCAAGUGAGUCCUUUUUCAGUUGUACAGGUAAUAAAACCCUUAGCCUUCAGCCAUGAGUAGUAUCCAUUCCUGAACUGUUCACGUUAAUUUGUGCAGAAAUCAGAGGUCAUCACAGGACCUCUGAUUUAACUGAAUGAGAGCCCUAGCUUGCUUCUCUUUUGAGAACAGGUUGUGUGUGUGUGUGUGUGUGUGAGAGAGAGAGAGAGAGAGAGAGAGGGACAUAGAAUAAGAAAAGAAAAAAGUUGUCACUCGGCAUUUUAUAUAUUCUCUUCAAGACUUGGAUUUCUUCAGAGUACAUAGAAGUACACUGAGAAGCACAAAGUAAAACAUGUCAAAGGUAAGUCACAACUUGAGGUGAGAACAAAUUAUUUUGCUAGGUGCAGCUUUCCACAAUUACUGUCAGAGAUGGCAGAUAAAUGCCAUUGACACAUGUCAUUUUCUCCUCUGGGGUUUUUCUAUGUUGUGGUUCAGAUGAUCACCUGAAAAUGUCUCAAGUCACAUGAAAAGAGAUUCAAGUUUUGCAUGUCUUAUGUCUGUGUUAAGACAAGCUAACAGCUUGAUCUCCCCCAUAAGCAAGGCCAGAGCACUGGAACCAGCUUCUGGUGACAUUGCAUAGGCUAUGAAAGGUCUCCAGAAUAGCAUACACAUCUGCAACUGCAAUAUUUCUGUAACAUUCCAGCUGUCUUUCAAGGAUGAGCAGUAGCUUUGCAGUAGCUGAUAUCUUCAGCAAGAUGCUGAAGUGCUUUAGAAUGUGACACCACCAAUGUUCUGAGUGAAGCCUGGCGUGUUCUUUUACACAUGCAGAAAUCAGGUCCAAAUGUACUCAUAGUGUGCAGAUACAUAUUAGACUUGUUGGAACAAUACAGCCUGUGCAAAUAACUAUGAAUGCCAACAGGCAUAUUUGAAGGACACUUGGCAUGACUAGCAUUGGUGAAGGGAAGACGAAACCGUACUCAUAGCCCAACAAUAGUGUGUCUGGUCUACAGCAGCCAUCUGUUGUAGGUGUAGCACAUCUGCAGCAUUUGACUUUUCUGAGAGACUCAGUAUUUUUCUUACAAUGUGUGCAGCUUAAGAUCUAUGAUCCCCUUAGCUGCUGCUUCUCUUGAUAUGUAAGUCAGGCACUUAAAAAGACUUCUUAGAGGUGAGCUAGAAUUCUUACCUCAUUUUUUUUAAUGAAUGUUUGUUUCAAAACAGUCUGCAGUUUUGUUCUGUUUUAAGCCUUUCAUAUAAUUAGACUGGAAGCUGGCUGAUGAACUGACUAUUUACUUGAGGGAAUGCAGUCUUUUUAGAGGCAUCCCUACAGUGACCUGCCUUGCUCUAAGGUAACCACAGUCCCAGUGUAUGUAUUAAUGCAGCUGACCUUCACCAUAUAAACUGCUACAGAAGGAGCAUACAUAAAGUUUCUGUACCCCAGCUUGUAAACCUGGUCUCCUAGGCAGUGACAACUUACAUUAGCACAAUGCACAAAUGCACUGCCAACUUUCUGUCACUAGAAAACAGGUACCUAACAGUUUCAUUUUGAAAGUAUGUUUUCAAGUCAAGAGCUUAAAAAAAAUUUUCUUUGUAAGCUGUGUGCUUAACCUGAUUGAACAUGGAUCAGAAGUAAUGUAAUAGGGGCCUUUGCUAGGGAAUGCUGGAGUCCUGCCACUUUGGAUACCAAGUUUCUGGUUAGGACAUGUUGCAGGCAUCAUUUGGCAGUUGCUUAAAACUAGACCCAUGGGGCAUACAAGCAUAUCUUGUAAUUUCUUGCAUCUUUACAAAGACUUCUGAAUCAGCUUGGAUGCUCAAAUAAAAAAAAUACACUGUCAUCAUAAUUUGCUCUUGCCUCUGCUACCAAAACAUUUUAAAGAAUGACAGCUUUGUAAAUACUAUUUUCAGCUCUCAAAAGAGCCACUAUGUCAUUUUAUGAGAUAUAGCAUUAAGACAGCUAAUGUGACACAAGUCUAGGCAAACUGGAUGCUGCAAUUGUUUCAAGAACUAGCUCUUUUAAAGUCUUGUAGUCUUACCGUGCUUAUUCAGUGUAAUCUGAAUAAAAUGUAUUCCAGUAUUACUUUUGAUUCUGAAAAUCUGAUAGCAUGAGUAAAUUUGUUGCACUAAGGCUGUCAUUGUACCAGCUACUUUGAAGAAAACUCUCAAAGGAAACUUCUUUUUCCAAUCUUUCCCAGGGGAAGUCGUACUUCACUAGAUGAAAUAAAUAUCUCCAAUAGCCACGAGCUUUAAUAAGAUCCCUGAAUUCCUUUCUAAACUGCAAAGUAGAACAAAACAUUACUUUCAGAGCACAUGACUAUUUUUACACAGAAGUCAACCUUUGAAACCUUUCUUAACCUCAACAGAAAUAAGUUUCAGACUCUGCUUACAAAUGGUAGCAGAAUUGUCCUGAUUGGUAAGAUUUCCUCCCGUGCAUGUCUACAUAUUUUUUUUAUCAGUUGAAGUGAUCAACUGUGAAGUGACUUAGCUGUAGUGAGAUCCUGAAGGACAGUAUCAGUUUGCUUUUGAGCUACAGGGAGGCAAAUGGAAUGGAGAAAAGGACCUACUUCUCAAAAAUAAUGAGUUUCUGAAUUUUCUUCAAUCUUUUAGGUAUUCUCUAUAUCCUCAGAGUAAAUAGAGUAUUUUUCAAGCUGAAGAAAUGUUCCAAGCAAAAGUGAUAAAUGCAAGAACAAGUCUGUUUAAUGGAAGAUAACUGCAACCUUAACCAAUGAGAGAAAAAAUGCUUCUCCAUAAGAAAGCAGCAUGUGAAUAAGUACA